rnacentral:tRNA from 1 species
GCGGGAAUAGCUCAGUUGGUAUAGCGCAACCUUGCCAAGGUUGAGGUCGCGAGUUCGAGUCUCGUUUCCCGCUCCA